GAGAGUUAAACAGUACGUGAAAUUGUUGAAAGGGAAACGAUUGAAGUCAGUCAUACUAACGGGAAAUCAACCUUUCGGGUGCGAUUAUGUGGAGUGUGAGGAGCUUAAACACCUUCAUGUUUUGCAUAUUCGUACUCUUGGGUGUACUUGCCCGUGUGGUUGGUUAACAUCAAUUUUGGUGGUCAUAAAAUGACUGGAGGAAUGUAGCUUCGAUCUCGUAUUGAAGUGUUAUAGCCUUCGGUAGAUGUGAUGAUCGAGAUUGAGGAUUGCAACGGAUACCCUUCGGGGCUACCUGUCUGAUCUCUGAUCGUUGUUCUGGUGCCGAAAGCUUGCUUACGGUUAUCAAAGUCGAUGGUCAAUAGGUUAGAACGGGUUAAAUUCGUUAAGGAUGUUGACGUAAUGGCUUUAAACGA
rnacentral:rRNA from 1 species